rnacentral:rRNA from 1 species
UCCUUGCACAGGGUUUUUAGUCAGGCAACGAGCGAGACCCGCACUCUUAAUUGCCAGCAUGGGCUUCGGCCUGAUGGGUACAUUAGGAGGACUGCCAGUGCCAAACUGGAGGAAGGAACGGGCAACGGUAGGUCAGUAUGCCCCGAAUGAGCUGGGCUACACGCGGGCUACAAUGGUCGAGACAGUGGGAUGCAACCCCGAGAGGGGGCGCUAAUCUCCGAAACUCGAUCGUAGUUCGGAUUGUGGGCUGAAACUCGCCCACAUGAAGC